CUUCCCCUCCUACAGUCUGCUUCGCGUCAUGGCUGCCGCCACUUCUCUUGAGGAGGCAGCGGCGCCUAUGGGCGCCCUGUGUGGCCUCGUACAAGACUUCGUCAUGGGUCAGCAGGAGGGGCCCGCUGACCAGGUGGCUGCAGAUGUGAAGUCUGGUGGCUAUAAAGUGUUACAAGUAGUAGAAGCCCUUGGGUCCUCUCUGGAGAAUCCAGAACCCCGAACUCGGGCUCGAGGAAUCCAGCUUUUGUCACAGGUGCUACUCCAGUGUCACUCCUUGCUCUUGGAGAAGGAAGUGGUCCACCUGGUCCUGUUCUAUGAGAACCGCCUGAAGGACCAUCAUCUUGUGAUCCCAUCUGUCCUGCAGGGCCUGAGGGCACUGAGCCUGUCUGUGGCCCUGCCCCCGGGUCUGGCUGUCUCUGUGCUUAAAGCCAUCUUCCAGGAGGUACAUGUACAGUCCCUGCUGCAGGUAGACCGCCAUACUGUCUUCAGUAUCAUCACUAACUUCAUGCGAUCACGAGAAGAAGAACUGAAGGGCCUCGGAGCUGACUUUACAUUCGGCUUCAUCCAGGUGAUGGAUGGAGAGAAGGAUCCCCGUAAUCUCUUGUUGGCUUUCCGCAUCGUCCAUGACCUCAUCUCCAAGGACUACAGUCUGGGACCUUUUGUGGAAGAGUUAUUUGAAGUGACAUCUUGUUAUUUCCCUAUUGAUUUUACCCCUCCACCUAAUGAUCCUUAUGGCAUCCAGAGAGAGGAUCUCAUCCUGAGUCUCCGUGCUGUGCUAGCUUCUACACCACGGUUCGCUGAGUUCUUAUUGCCUCUGCUAAUUGAGAAAGUGGAUUCUGAGAUUUUAAGUGCCAAGCUGGAUUCUCUGCAAACUCUGAAUGCUUGCUGUGCUGUGUAUGGACAGAAGGAGCUAAAGGACUUCCUCCCCAGCCUCUGGGCUUCCAUCCGCAGAGAGGUCUUCCAGACAGCCAGUGAGCGAGUAGAGGCAGAGGGCCUGGCCGCUCUCCGCUCCCUGACUGCGUGCCUGUCGCGUUCUGUGCUGAGAGCUGAUGCUGAGGACCUCCUCCACUCCUUCCUCAGCAGCAUUCUACAAGACUGCAGGCACCAUCUAUGUGAACCAGACAUGAAACUUGUAUGGCCUAGCGCUAAGCUGUUGCAGGCAGCAGCAGGUGCGUCUGCCCGAGCCUGUGAGCACAUCACCAGCAACGUGCUUCCCUUGCUGCUGGAACAGUUUCACAAGCACAGUCAGAGCAACCAGCGGCGAACAAUCCUUGAAAUGAUCCUGGGAUUCUUAAAGCUACAGCAGAAAUGGAGCUAUGAAGACAGAGAUGAGAGGCCUCUAAGUAGCUUCAAAGACCAGCUGUGCACGUUGGUGUUCAUGGCUCUGACAGACCCCAGCACCCAGCUACAGCUUGUUGGCAUCCGGACGCUCACAGUCUUAGGUGCCCAGCCAGGUCUCUUGGCUGCUGAGGACCUGGAGUUGGCAGUAGGUCACCUGUACCGACUGAGCUUCCUGGAGGAAGAGUCCCAGAGUUGUAGGGUGGCAGCACUGGAGGCAUCCGGAACCCUGGCCAGUCUGUAUCCUGGAGCCUUCAGCAGCCACUUGCUACCCAAGCUUGCUGAGGAGCUGCUUAAAGGGGAGUCAAAUGUAGCUAGAGCAGAUGGUCCCACCAAAUGUUCCCGGCAUUUCCGCUGUCUGCAAGCUUUGUCAGCUGUUUCAACACAUCCCAGCAUUGUCAAGGAGACACUGCCUCUGCUGCUGCAGCAUCUCUAUCAAGCAAACAAAGGGAAUACCGUCCCAGAGUCCAGUGAGGUCGUUGCUGUCUGUCAGAGUCUCCAGCAGGUGGCAGAGAAAUGCCAGCAGGAGCCUGAGAGCUACUGGUAUUUCCACAAGACAGCUGUGCCCUGCCUAUUCGCACUGGCUGUGCAGGCUGCAAUGCCAGAGAAGGAAUCCUCAGUUCUGAGAAAAGUACUGUUGGAGGAUGAGGUCUUGGCUGCGUUGGCAUCUGUCAUUGGCACUGCCACUACCCAUCUGAGCCCUGAACUGGCUGCCCGGAGUGCCACAGGCAUCGUGCCCCUCUUCUUAAAUGGCGACACCUCCUUCCUACCUGAAAGCAGCUUCCCAGGCCAGUUCCAGCCAUUCCAGGAUGGCUCCUCUGGGCAGAGGCGGCUGGUUGCACUGCUUAUGGCUUUUGUCUGUUCCCUGCCACGAAAUGUGGAAAUCCCUCAGCUGAACCGACUCAUGCGGGAGCUUUUGAAGCAGAGCUGUGGCCACAGCUGUCCCUUCUCCUCCACUGCUGCCACCAAGUGUUUUGCAGGGCUGCUCAACAAGCAGCCUCCAGGGCAGGAGUUGGAUGAGUUCCUCCAGCUCGCUGUGGACACAGUAGAGGCGGGCCUGGCCUCGGAAUCCUCCCGUAAUGAGGCUUUCACACUGCUGCUCUGGGUAACCAAGGCUCUGGUCCUCAGAUAUCAUCCUCUCAGUGCCAGCCUGACCACCCGGUUCAUGGGCCUCCUCAGUGAUCCAGAGCUAGGCUGUGCAGCAGCUGAUGGCUUCUCUCUGCUCAUGUCUGACUGCACUGAUGUGCUGACUCGUGCCGGCCACGCUGAUGUUCGCAUCAUGUUCCGCCAGCGGUUCUUCACAGACAAUGUGCCUGCUUUGGUCCAAGGUUUCCAUGCCGCUCCCCAAGAUGUGAAGCCAAACUAUCUAAAGGGUCUGUCUCAUGUACUCAACAGACUGCCCAAGCCUGUGCUUUUACCAGAGCUACCCACACUCCUUUCCUUGCUGCUAGAGGCACUGUCCUGCCCUGACUCUGUGGUCCAGCUUUCCACUCUGAGCUGUCUCCAACCCCUACUACUGGAAGCACCCCAAAUCAUGAGUCUUCAUGUUGAUACUCUGGUUACGAAAUUCCUGACUCUCAGCUCCAGUUAUUCAAUGGCCGUCCGGAUUGCUGCUCUGCAGUGUAUGCACGCGCUCACUCGCCUCCCCACUUCUGUGCUACUGCCAUACAAAUCUCAGGUGAUCCGAGCUUUAGCCAAGCCUCUGGAUGACAAGAAGAGACUUGUGCGCAAGGAAGCAGUGUCAGCAAGGGGAGAAUGGUUCCUACUGGGGAGCCCUGGGAGCUGAGUCCUUGGUCCUGGCCUAAACCCUCUGACAAUCUAACCUGCAAGUACUAACUAUUGGGCCAUUCCACAAGGCAAGACCACUGGCCUGCCUUCCCAUGGAUGCAGUACAAAUGCUGGGCCUCUCCUGCAUGGCUGUGCAAAACUCAUGCUGUGUUAGCACACACUGAGAGCUCCCAGCCCUUCAAUACAAGGCCAUAGGGGACACCCUCGGAAUGCCCACUCAGUAGCCCUUCUUGAUCCUGACCUUGACCUUCACCAAGGCAGAAAGAAGCUAUGUAUCUUUACAAAUCAAAUGCCUUUAUUUUCACUCCUUCUGUAGCAUGUGAGAAAUGGCAGUGACCUUGGCAAUAGGCUUAAUGUCUUUCUUCCAUUGAGAAGCCAGAAUUUCAACAUACCUGAUGGAUCUUUUUCCAAAGUAAAAGAGAUGGUGUCUAGCCCCAUCUGUGACCUAGAGCUCACCUGGAGCUAAAACGUAUUUGCCUGAGUAAAGGGACUUCAAUCCUUGAGUUUCCCCACACUGCAUCUUGUUUUGAGGUGGCAGAAGAUUGGUCUUGAGUGUCCCUGUGUCGUACUCUAAGGCAAGCCUGAUGGCUCUUCAUGGUCAUGGAUUCCAGGAAAAGCUGCCCUUGGAAGCUCUUGAGAGGCAAUAAACAUCAAACAAUGUUCAA